rnacentral:rRNA from 1 species
GGGUUGUGAGGUUAAGCGACUAAGCGUACACGGUGGAUGCCCUGGCAGUCAGAGGCGAUGAAGGACGUGCUAAUCUGCGAUAAGCGUCGGUGAGGUGAUAUGAACCGUUAUAACCGGCGAUUUCCGAAUGGGGAAACCCAGUGUGUUUCGACACACUAUCAUUAACUGAAUCCAUAGGUUAAUGAGGCGAACCGGGGGAACUGAAACAUCUAAGUACCCCGAGGAAAAGAAAUCAACCGAGAUUCCCCCAGUAGCGGCGAGCGAACGGGGAGGAGCCCAGAGCCUGAAUCAGUGUGUGUGUUAGUGGAAGCGUCUGGAAAGGCGCGCGAUACAGGGUGACAGCCCCGUACACAAAAAUGCACAUAUUGUGAGCUCGAUGAGUAGGGCGGGACACGUGGUAUCCUGUCUGAAUAUGGGGGGACCAUCCUCCAAGGCUAAAUACUCCUGACUGACCGAUAGUGAACCAGUACCGUGAGGGAAAGGCGAAAAGAACCCCGGCGAGGGGAGUGAAAAAGAACCUGAAACCGUGUACGUACAAGCAGUGGGAGCCUCUUUAUGGGGUGACUGCGUACCUUUUGUAUAAUGGGUCAGCGACUUAUAUUCUGUAGCAAGGUUAACCGAAUAGGGGAGCCGAAGGGAAACCGAGUCUUAACUGGGCGUUAAGUUGCAGGGUAUAGACCCGAAACCCGGUGAUCUAGCCAUGGGCAGGUUGAAGGUUGGGUAACACUAACUGGAGGACCGAACCGACUAAUGUUGAAAAAUUAGCGGAUGACUUGUGGCUGGGGGUGAAAGGCCAAUCAAACCGGGAGAUAGCUGGUUCUCCCCGAAAGCUAUUUAGGUAGCGCCUCGUGAAUUCAUCUCCGGGGGUAGAGCACUGUUUCGGCAAGGGGGUCAUCCCGACUUACCAACCCGAUGCAAACUGCGAAUACCGGAGAAUGUUAUCACGGGAGACACACGGCGGGUGCUAACGUCCGUCGUGAAGAGGGAAACAACCCAGACCGCCAGCUAAGGUCCCAAAGUCAUGGUUAAGUGGGAAACGAUGUGGGAAGGCCCAGACAGCCAGGAUGUUGGCUUAGAAGCAGCCAUCAUUUAAAGAAAGCGUAAUAGCUCACUGGUCGAGUCGGCCUGCGCGGAAGAUGUAACGGGGCUAAACCAUGCACCGAAGCUGCGGCAGCGACACUAUGUGUUGUUGGGUAGGGGAGCGUUCUGUAAGCCUGUGAAGGUGGCCUGUGAGGGUUGCUGGAGGUAUCAGAAGUGCGAAUGCUGACAUAAGUAACGAUAAAGCGGGUGAAAAGCCCGCUCGCCGGAAGACCAAGGGUUCCUGUCCAACGUUAAUCGGGGCAGGGUGAGUCGACCCCUAAGGCGAGGCCGAAAGGCGUAGUCGAUGGGAAACAGGUUAAUAUUCCUGUACUUGGUGUUACUGCGAAGGGGGGACGGAGAAGGCUAUGUUGGCCGGGCGACGGUUGUCCCGGUUUAAGCGUGUAGGCUGGUUUUCCAGGCAAAUCCGGAAAACCAAGGCUGAGGCGUGAUGACGAGGCACUACGGUGCUGAAGCGACAAAUGCCCUGCUUCCAGGAAAAGCCUCUAAGCAUCAGGUAACAUCAAAUCGUACCCCAAACCGACACAGGUGGUCAGGUAGAGAAUACCAAGGCGCUUGAGAGAACUCGGGUGAAGGAACUAGGCAAAAUGGUGCCGUAACUUCGGGAGAAGGCACGCUGAUAUGUAGGUGAAGCGACUUGCUCGUGGAGCUGAAAUCAGUCGAAGAUACCAGCUGGCUGCAACUGUUUAUUAAAAACACAGCACUGUGCAAACACGAAAGUGGACGUAUACGGUGUGACGCCUGCCCGGUGCCGGAAGGUUAAUUGAUGGGGUUAGCGGUAACGCGAAGCUCUUGAUCGAAGCCCCGGUAAACGGCGGCCGUAACUAUAACGGUCCUAAGGUAGCGAAAUUCCUUGUCGGGUAAGUUCCGACCUGCACGAAUGGCGUAAUGAUGGCCAGGCUGUCUCCACCCGAGACUCAGUGAAAUUGAACUCGCUGUGAAGAUGCAGUGUACCCGCGGCAAGACGGAAAGACCCCGUGAACCUUUACUAUAGCUUGACACUGAACAUUGAGCCUUGAUGUGUAGGAUAGGUGGGAGGCUUUGAAGUGUGGACGCCAGUCUGCAUGGAGCCGACCUUGAAAUACCACCCUUUAAUGUUUGAUGUUCUAACGUUGGCCCGUAAUCCGGGUUGCGGACAGUGUCUGGUGGGUAGUUUGACUGGGGCGGUCUCCUCCUAAAGAGUAACGGAGGAGCACGAAGGUUGGCUAAUCCUGGUCGGACAUCAGGAGGUUAGUGCAAUGGCAUAAGCCAGCUUGACUGCGAGCGUGACGGCGCGAGCAGGUGCGAAAGCAGGUCAUAGUGAUCCGGUGGUUCUGAAUGGAAGGGCCAUCGCUCAACGGAUAAAAGGUACUCCGGGGAUAACAGGCUGAUACCGCCCAAGAGUUCAUAUCGACGGCGGUGUUUGGCACCUCGAUGUCGGCUCAUCACAUCCUGGGGCUGAAGUAGGUCCCAAGGGUAUGGCUGUUCGCCAUUUAAAGUGGUACGCGAGCUGGGUUUAGAACGUCGUGAGACAGUUCGGUCCCUAUCUGCCGUGGGCGCUGGAGAACUGAGGGGGGCUGCUCCUAGUACGAGAGGACCGGAGUGGACGCAUCACUGGUGUUCGGGUUGUCAUGCCAAUGGCACUGCCCGGUAGCUAAAUGCGGAAGAGAUAAGUGCUGAAAGCAUCUAAGCACGAAACUUGC